rnacentral:rRNA from 1 species
GAUGAACGCUGGCGGCGUGCCUAAUACAUGCAAGUCGAGCGAACAGACGAGGAGCUUGCUCCUCUGACGUUAGCGGCGGACGGGUGAGUAACACGUGGAUAACCUACCUAUAAGACUGGGAUAACUUCGGGAAACCGGAGCUAAUACCGGAUAAUAUAUUGAACCGCAUGGUUCAAUAGUGAAAGACGGUUUUGCUGUCACUUAUAGAUGGAUCCGCGCCGCAUUAGCUAGUUGGUAAGGUAACGGCUUACCAAGGCAACGAUGCGUAGCCGACCUGAGAGGGUGAUCGGCCACACUGGAACUGAGACACGGUCCAGACGCCUACGGGAGGCAGCAGUAGGGAAUCUUCCGCAAUGGGCGAAAGCCUGACGGAGCAACGCCGCGCGAGUGAUGAAGUUCUUCGGAUCGUAAAACUCUGUUAUUAGGGAAGAACAAAUGUGUAAGUAACUAUGCACGUCUUGACGGUACCUAAUCAGAAAGCCACGGCUAACUACGUGCCAGCCGCCGCUGUAA